rnacentral:rRNA from 1 species
CAGUAGCCGCGGGAAUACGAAGGGGGCUAGCGUUGCUCGGAAUUACUGGGCGUAAAGGGCGCGUAGGCGGACAGUUCAGUCAGGGGUGAAAGCCCGGGGCUCAACCUCGGAAUUGCCUUCGAUACUGGCUGUCUUGAGUAUGAGAGAGGUGUGUGGAACUCCGAGUGUAGAGGUGAAAUUCGUAGAUAUUCGGAAGAACACCAGUGGCGAAGGCGACACACUGGCUCAUUACUGACGCUGGGGCGCGAAAGCGUGGGGAGCAAACAGGAUUAGAUACCCCCGUAGUCCCUGUCUCUUAUAC